rnacentral:rRNA from 1 species
AAUAGAUACCCGGGUAGUCCAUGCCGUAAACGAUGAGUACUAGCUGUCUGGGGUAUCGACUCCCUGGGUAGCGAAGCAAACGCGAUAAGUACUCCGCCUGGGGACUACGGCCGCAAGGCUAAAACUCAAAGGAAUUGACGGGGCCCGCACAAGCAGCGGAGCGUGCGGUUUAAUUCGAAGCUACGCGAAGAACCUUACCAGGGCUUGACAUGUCCCUGACCGCCGAUGAAAGUCGGUUUCCCUUCGGGGCAGGGUCACAGAUGCUGCAUGGCUGUCGUCAGCUCGUGCCGUGAGGUGUUGGGUUAAGUCCCGCAACGAGCGCAACCCUCGUCGUGUGUUGAAUUUUUCACACGAGACUGCCCGGAGCAACCGGGAGAAGGCGGGGAUGACGUCAAGUCAGCAUGGCUCUUACGUCCUGGGCUACUCGCACGCUACAAUGGGCAGUACAGACCGUUGCGAUAUCGCGAGAUGGAGCUAAUCGGCAAAGCUGUCCUCAGUACGGAUUGCAGG